rnacentral:rRNA from 1 species
UACGUAGGGGGGCAAGCGUUGUCCGGAUUUAUUGGGCGUAAAGAGCGUGUAGGCGGCUUUACAGGUCCGUUGUGAAAACUCGAGGCUCAACCUCGAGACGCCGGUGGAAACCGUAAGGCUAGAGUCCGGAAGAGGAGAGUGGAAUUCCUGGUGUAGCGGUGAAAUGCGUAGAUAUCUGGAGGAACACCGGUGGCGAAGGCGGCAUCCUGGACCGACACUGACGCUGAGGAGCGAAAGCCAGGGGAGCAACAGG